ensembl:lncRNA
CUGUAUCUAGUGGUUCUUACGUUGUUUAACAGAGCAAUAGUAUGUAGUAUGUACUUGUAAUUUGGUUAAGACUAACAUUAGAUUAGAAAAGAAUUGCUUGCUCUGUGUAUAUUUGAAAGUAGUUGGUUGGCUUUGCUAGUUAGCAAGCUGAGAUCUCUGCUCAAGAUGGCUGAAGUUAGCUAGCUUGCUAAUAAUGUUUUGAGGAGAACAGGCUAGUUUCAUGUAGAAUCAAGACAAGAGUGGAUGGCGAAGAAGAUUAGAUGUUCAGUUGCUUCAAUUGGCUGAUGUAGUACCCAGACGAGAUAACUGCUAUAGAGAUAAAAAGGCAGAUCCAUGAACAUUCCAUCUUCAUCCAGCCCAUGCCUGGUAUUGUCAAGGGGGGCAUCAUGCCCUUUGGCUGCAUCUUCCUCCAGCAAAUUUUUUUUAUCCUCAACAACAUCUGGUCAUCUUAGGUUUUAUUACAUACAGUCGGGAGGAACUAUUGGAUAUAAUAGCAAUGUCAACUCACCAACAUUACGACCAGGACUUUCCCGAAGCGGAUCCUCUGUUUGGCCUACUACCCAGGACAAUGGAUCGGAUCCCAGCCGGCGACCCAAAACAAAGAUGCCGUAGAAGGGGCAGACAGAGCAGUCUUCUGGUCAGGCUCCAUAGACUGGCACAUCGCGCACCGCUCCCGAGCACACUACUCGCCAAUGUCCAGUCUCUUGACAACAAGGUAGACGAAAUCCGAGCAUGGGUAGCAUUCCAGAGAGACAUGAGGGUACCUCCGUGAGGGUACCUCAGGAGGCUGAAGAAAUUUGGCUUGUCACCAAAAACACUCACAAACUUUUACAGAUGCACAAUCGAGAGCAUCCUGUUGGGCUGUAUCACAGCCUGGUAUGGCAGCUGCUCCGCCCAUAACCGGAAGGCACUCCAGAGGGUAGUGAGGUCUGCACAACGCAUCACCGGGUGCAAACUACCUGCCCUCCAGGACACCUAAACACCCGAUGUCACAGGAAGGCCAAAAAGAUCAUCAAGGACAACAACCACCUGAGCCACUGCCUGUUCACCC